rnacentral:rRNA from 1 species
GUCUACGGCCAUACCACCGUGAACGUGCCUGAUCUUGUCUGAUCUCAGAAGCUGAGCAGGGUCAGGUCUGGUUAGUGCUUGGAUGGGAGAUUGCUGUAUUGC